GCCUCCUCAGGGGUGCAUGACCGGUGUUCUGCUUUGUCCGUCGGUGUGGGGCUUUUUGUUUCGUUUUAAACAUUUCUAUUAUUUUAAUUGUGACAAACUGUGCAGAACAUAAAAUUUACCAUCUUGAUCUUUUUUAAGUGGAUAGUUGAUUGGCAUUCAAUUCAUUGAUAAUGUUGUGCAACCAUCGCCACCGUCCAUCCACGGACCUCUUUUAAUCUUCCCACACUGAAGUUCUGCUCGCAUUCAUCAACUCCCCACUCCCCUCCUCCAGUCCUGAUGACCACCAUUCUACUUUCUGUCUCCGUGAACUUGACUGCUCUGGUUACCUGCUGUCCGUAGAAUUGUACAGCAUUUGUCCUUUUGUGCCUGGCUUAUUUUACUUGGCAUCCUAUACUAACGGCUCCUCCAUGCCGUAGCGUGUGUCGGAAUCUCCUUCCUUUUUAAGGCUGAAUAAUAUCCCAUUGUUUGUACGUUAGUCCAUUUGUGCUGCUGUAAGAAAAUACCUGAGACUGGGUAAUUCAUAGAGAACAGAAACUUACUUCUCACAGUUCCGGAGGCUGGGAGCGCCAGAUCAGGGUGCCAGCAGGUUUGGCAUCUGUCCGAGGCUGCUCUCUGCUUCUGAGAUGCUGCCUUGCUGCUGCGUCCUGUGGAGGAGAGGAACAGUGUGUCCUCCCGUGGGGAGAGGGAUGGGAAGGGAAGGGCAGACUCCCUGCAUCAAACCCAUUCCCAAGGGAUGCCUAAUGCCCUUCUGACUCAGUCGUCUCCUGAUGACCAUACCUCUCAAUAGUGUUGCAUUGGGGAUGACAUUUCAACAUGAAUUUUGGAGGGGACAAAAGCAUUCAAGCUGUAGCAGUAUGGCUAUACCAUAUUCUGUUUGUACAUUCAUCCACCAGUAGACCCAGGGGUUGCUUCCACGUUGGGGCUUUCAGUUUUAAAAAUGGGAUCGUCUUGGGGAAACUAGGACAAGUUGGUUUUAUCCUGGUACCAAACUGGAGCCUCUGUUUGGAGUUUGCCAAGUUAUUCCUUUCAAAAAUGUUCCAGGGGUAGGGGCUGACCAGAAGCUUAGAGAAUGUGGGCCUCAAUUUUGAUGCAAUAUCCCGAAGGGGUCUGCCCCAUCCAGGUGUCGCGUACAGGCCUGUUCCCUGUCUCUUCUCCUUUAUUGCUCAGGAUCACAGAUGCCUACUCUGGGCCAGGCCCUGGCAGGCAUUGUGCGUUAUCCUGUCGGGUCCUCUAACCUACUUGCAGAUGGGGAACUGGGCCCAGAGAUGCUGAGUGCUUGGUCCAAGGGUGCACAGCUUCAUAGUGGCGAAGCUAGGACUCACUCACUAUGCCUCGGUUCUGUGAAUUUCUCAGGGAGUCCUCAAGAAUGUCCAUUUGUGGUGUGUAAAAAGAACACAUUGACUCCCAGAUGUGUUUCUGCUCAUCUUGACACCAACAGGCAUCUCUGGGCACUGAAGGAGCUUGGGAAAUACAAGGCCUCAGAAAAGUCUACAGCAAAGAUGAGAAGAAACCUGUGAAAUCAAAAUGGAUAAAUGUUUAAACAUCUACAGGGUGCAGCUUUAUGUUAGCCUCAUUAAUUGUUAAAUUAAACAUUCAUAAAAACUUCAUUCGAAAACAAUUUGCUGACUGGAUUUUCUCAUGUUGCACAAAUUCCUGAUAUGGAUCGAUGAAUCACAGCCAAUUUUUAAAGUGAAUGUUUUUCAGCACCAAAUAACUUCAAAAGAAAGUUGAGAAACAUCCUUGAAAAUAAGUUUUCUAGCCCAAAGAGUAUGUCAAAUAUGAAAUAUGGGUGCAUUUUAAUAUGUUUGCUCUGAUAUGGGACCCUAAGUCCUGGAGGUCUUGAAAUAUCUGGAUUUUUUUUUUUUGAGGUGGUCUUGCUCUCUCGCUAGGCUGGAGAGCAGUGGUACUCCUCAUCUUCACAAAAGAUUCAAGGUGGCC